AGCUUUUGUUUUUUUCCCUGUAUAUUCUUGUUGAGAUUACGCCUGACCUAUUGUAUUUUUCAUACAUCUGUUAUCAAAGGAAUCAGUACAAAGCCAGAUGCGUUGUCUCAUGUUUGUAACUCCUCAGGACAUGUAAGAUCCCAGUACCUGCUGCAUGAUGGCCACUUCCUCCAAAUGGGCUCGGGGUGAGAGGAACAGGACACCUGGAGACAUUCUGUAUGAGGCUCUGGCAGAUUUAACACGUGAUGACUUCAAACGGUUUAAGGACAAGUUGUCUGAUUUCUCCUAUGGAGGGCGAGGCUCCAUCCCACGCGGGCACCUGGAGAUGGCAGAUUAUGUUACCACAAAAAACCUUCUCAUAGAUGUUUAUGGAGAGGAAGCAGUGCUGGAUGUGACCAGACAGGUCCUCCAACUGAUCAGUCUUAUGGGACCAGCAGAGGAUCUCAAGCACAAAGUGACAC